AGGCGACAGGGCAUUACGUGGCUUACAGAGGGAUUUCUGCCACUCGCUGCCACGCGGACGAACGCGAAGGACGCCACGGGCAGCGUCAGGGGACUUCCCGGGAGAGAGCACGUCUUCCGUCUCUGUCUGGGGUCUACCAGGCCCUGGGAGCGGGAACGCCACCCUCCGAGCUCCUGAGAAAGCCGAAACCAGAGUCGGUCCCCAAACACUGUCCGUGGCGGUGCAGACGGACGCAGGCCACAAGCAGCAGUUCCCAGAAGCAGGCGCUCAGACAGCGUCCACCGUCGCCAGGAACUGCGGAGAAUGCAUGGAAGGCGGCACGAAGCGCUAAACAUCUGGAGACGGCCGUCCACACGCCAUUUAAAAUCGUCUGUGUCCCCAACA